AGAGUUUUGAUAUAUGGCUCAGGACGAACGCUGGCGGCGUGCCUAAUACAUGCAAGUCGAGCGGACAGAUGGGAGCUUGCUCCCUGAUGUUAGCGGCGGACGGGUGAGUAACACGUGGGUAACCUGCCUGUAAGACUGGGAUAACUCCGGGAAACCGGGGCUAAUACCGGAUGGUUGUUUGAACCGCAUGGUUCAAACAUAAAAGGUGGCUUCGGCUACCACUUACAGAUGGACCCGCGGCGCAUUAGCUAGUUGGUGAGGUAACGGCUCACCAAGGCGACGAUGCGUAGCCGACCUGAGAGGGUGAUCGGCCACACUGGGACUGAGACACGGCCCAGACUCCUACGGGAGGCAGCAGUAGGGAAUCUUCCGCAAUGGACGAAAGUCUGACGGAGCAACGCCGCGUGAGUGAUGAAGGUUUUCGGAUCGUAAAGCUCUGUUGUUAGGGAAGAACAAGUACCGUUCGAAUAGGGCGGUACCUUGACGGUACCUAACCAGAAAGCCACGGCUAACUACGUGCCAGCAGCCGCGGUAAUACGUAGGUGGCAAGCGUUGUCCGGAAUUAUUGGGCGUAAAGGGCUCGCAGGCGGUUUCUUAAGUCUGAUGUGAAAGCCCCCGGCUCAACCGGGGAGGGUCAUUGGAAACUGGGGAACUUGAGUGCAGAAGAGGAGAGUGGAAUUCCACGUGUAGCGGUGAAAUGCGUAGAGAUGUGGAGGAACACCAGUGGCGAAGGCGACUCUCUGGUCUGUAACUGACGCUGAGGAGCGAAAGCGUGGGGAGCGAACAGGAUUAGAUACCCUGGUAGUCCACGCCGUAAACGAUGAGUGCUAAAUGUUAGGGGGUUUCCGCCCCUUAGUGCUGCAUGCUAACGCAUAAGCA
rnacentral:rRNA from 1 species